UCCUCUUCCAUUUCCUUCUCCCAUCGGCUCACGAUGGUGGUUUGGGCUCAAGGAAGAUAUCGCAAUAAAGUUGAUGCAGAAGUUUACCAGCCUUCUUCACUGCUCAAGAUGUGUGGAGUUUGUGAAAGAACAAGGACAAACUUAUCAGGCAGGUUACGGCUGUCUCUCGCAGAUUUUCACGAUGGCUGAAAUUGUCAGAGGGGUGGAAGACCAGCUCAGUCUGAGAAUUAACAUCUGACGUUCAAACAUGGCUUCAAUUUAAUACCUGAGGCAGUGACGCUUCAUCCAAUGAUGAUGGUUUCUCUGCAGUGUCAUGAAGAGAGAUGAAGUUCUGGAAGAUGCCAAACCAUGUGCAUGAUCCCGUCACAAGGCCAUCUACCCAGGGAUGUGACAGCCUGCAUGAUGUGGGAACUGAGGUCAUCAGUGCCAACCUGGGCAGACGGAGGUUGACUCUCCCACAGUAGAGGUGCUGGUCCUGACUCUACAUUCAUAAUGGCUGACUGCUUUUGACCAAGGUCUGUUCCAGCCAGCAUUGCAUACGCCGCUCCCAUGUCUGGUUUUGGUCCUGACUCUACACUAUUAGUGGCUGACUGCUUUUGACCAAGGUAAGAUCAAGUGUGAGCCCCUCUUAAACUGGACACCUGCCUACAUGAUCUGAAUGUAUGACCGGGACACAACUUCAUGAUGGAGGCUCCUUAUGAAGUUGCUACCAGCCCAUUGAACUGAAUCUUGUAUUGUGUGUAGCUACUUGAAAUGAAGUGACUCUAAAUAAACUUCUGCUUGUAUAUGAAU